UUUCCGUAGGUGAACCUGCGGAAGGAUCAUUAUUCGAAGAAGCAUGUUUCUCAGCAUGAUAUCUCGAACCCCACCUGUGUAUCUUACCUGUUGCUUCCGUGCUGCACACGCUGCAAACGCGUGCCCUAGCGGUCCGGAGUACCGAGUACUCUCUCAGGGCCCUUCGGAGCCGGCACGGGAGGUACACCACAAACUCUUGCCCUUGAAUACCUUCUGUCUGAACUGUAGUACAUGAAAAGUUAAAACUUUCAACAACGGAUCUCUUGGUUCUC
rnacentral:misc_RNA from 1 species